CGGAACGUGGCGCAGCCCGGUUAGCGCACCGGUCUGGGGGACCGGGGGUCGCGAGUUCAAAUCUCGCCGUUCCGACCA
rnacentral:tRNA from 1 species